CAAACGGAUGAAUUCGGCUCCAAAUCAAUCCAAUCGGCGAUCAAACAAACCCUAGAAAUUGCCGGUACGAUAACAAUCAACAAGAAGGAUACAACCACUCUGCCUUAAUAAUACUACAUCCUGAUCCAGGAAAUGACUCAAGAUCACUAUGGAGAUUAUCAUCAGAUUUUCGUUUCUACGAAUCAAAUCUAUAAACGGAAGUUACGAGAAGCUAAA
rnacentral:lncRNA from 1 species